GGGGGGUAGGCGGAACGGUAAGUACCUUGUGAAAGCCCCGGGCUCAACCCGGGAAUUGCUGGGUAUACUAUCGUUCUUGAGGCAGGUAGGGGCCACUGGAACCUUAGGUGGAGCGGUGAAAUGCGUAGAUAUCUAAGGGAACGCCUGUGGCGAAAGCGGGUGACUGGGCCUGUACUGACGCUGAGACCCGAAAGCGUAGGGAGCGAACG
rnacentral:rRNA from 1 species